CGUCUAACCAUAUCUCAAUGUCGGUAAUUUCUCCCUCCCCAUCCCUCAUUGUCGGUAAUUUCAGGAGGCGGAUUGCAUCUGCUCUUGUCGCCAAUUUCAUCAAAUCUUUGUUGAUCAUGUCUAUCUACUAGUACCGGAAGCAUAUGGGAUAACUACCUCUUGGAGGUCGAGAGUGAGUUAUGGUCUAUGUUUGGUAUAAGAUACUUUGUUUUUGGGGAAUAUGAUUGGUGAGUGGCAGGUUAAAAAGAGGUCGUCAUUAAAGAAACAUUAUGAUUGUAAUUUGACAACUUUAUGUUGACUAUGAUUUGUGGUUAUUAUUUUGAGUUUGGACAUAUAUGUCAAAGUAAACAAUAAGUUUAUUUAUGAUAUCUGUGUUAUUUGA